rnacentral:rRNA from 1 species
AGGGCGCACGGUGGAUGCCUUGGCACUAGAAGCCGAUGAAGGACGUGACUAACGACGAAAUGCUUUGGGGAGCUGUAAGUGAGCAAUGAUCCAGAGAUGUCCGAAUGGGGGAACCCGGCAGGUAAUGCCUGUCACUCAUUACUGUUAAGGUAAUGUAGAGGAAGACGCAGUGAACUGAAACAUCUAAGUAGCUGUAGGAAGAGAAAGCAAAAGCGAUUGCCUUAGUAGCGGCGAGCGAAACGGCAAGAGGGCAAACCGAAGAGUUUACUCUUCGGGGUUGUAGGACUGCAACGUGGACUUAAAGAUUAUAGAAGAACUACCUGGGAAGGUAGGCCAAAGAGAGUAAUAGCCUCGUAUUCGAAAUAGUCUUUAUACCUAGCAGUAUCCUGAGUACGGCGAGACACGAGAAAUCUCGUCGGAAUCUGGGAGGACCAUCUCCCAACCCUAAAUACUCUCUAGUGACCGAUAGUGAACCAGUACCGUGAGGGAAAGGUGAAAAGCACCCCGGGAGGGGAGUGAAAUAGAACCUGAAACCGUGUGCCUACAACAAGUUCGAGCCCGUUAAUGGGUGAGAGCGUGCCUUUUGUAGAAUGAACCGGCGAGUUACGAUAUGAUGCGAGGUUAAGUUGAAGAGACGGAGCCGUAGGGAAACCGAGUCUUAAUAGGGCGCAUUAGUAUCAUGUCGUAGACCCGAAACCAUGUGACCUACCCAUGAGCAGGUUGAAGGUGAGGUAAAACUCACUGGAGGACCGAACCAGGGCACGUUGAAAAGUGCUUGGAUGACUUGUGGGUAGCGGAGAAAUUCCAAACGAACUUGGAGAUAGCUGGUUCUCUCCGAAAUAGCUUUAGGGCUAGCGUCGAUGUUAAGUCUCUUGGAGGUAGAGCACUGUUUGGGUGAGGGGUCCAUCCCGGAUUACCAAUCUCAGAUAAACUCCGAAUGCCAAUGAGAUAUAAUCGGCAGUCAGACUGCGAGUGCUAAGAUCCGUAGUCGAAAGGGAAACAGCCCAGACCACCAGCUAAGGUCCCAAAAUAUAUGUUAAGUGGAAAAGGAUGUGGGGUUGCACAGACAACUAGGAUGUUAGCUUAGAAGCAGCUAUUCAUUCAAAGAGUGCGUAAUAGCUCACUAGUCGAGUGACCCUGCGCCGAAAAUGUACCGGGGCUAAAACAUAUUACCGAAGCUGUGGAUACCUUUAUAGGUAUGGUAGGAGAGCGUUCUAUGUGCGAAGAAGGUGUACCGUGAGGAGUGCUGGAGCGCAUAGAAGUGAGAAUGCCGGUAUGAGUAGCGAAAGACAGGUGAGAAUCCUGUCCACCGUAAGACUAAGGUUUCCAGGGGAAGGCUCGUCCGCCCUGGGUUAGUCGGGACCUAAGGAGAGACCGAAAGGUGUAUCCGAUGGACAACAGGUUGAUAUUCCUGUACUAGAGUAUAUAGUGAUGGAGGGACGCAGUAGGCUAACUAAACCAGACGAUUGGAAGUGUCUGGCCAAGCAGUGAGGUGUGAUAUGAGUCAAAUGCUUAUAUCUUUAACAUUGAGCUGUGAUGGGGAGCGAAGUUUAGUAGCGAAGUUAGUGAUGUCACACUGCCGAGAAAAGCUUCUAGCGUUAAUUAUACUCUACCCGUACCGCAAACCGACACAGGUAGUCGAGGCGAGUAGCCUCAGGUGAGCGAGAGAACUCUCGUUAAGGAACUCGGCAAAAUGGCCCCGUAACUUCGGGAGAAGGGGCGCUGACUGAUGGUCAGCCGCAGUGAAUAGGCCCAAGCAACUGUUUAUCAAAAACACAGCUCUCUGCUAAAUCGUAAGAUGAUGUAUAGGGGGUGACGCCUGCCCGGUGCUGGAAGGUUAAGAGGAGUGCUUAGCGUAAGCGAAGGCAUGAAUUGAAGCCCCAGUAAACGGCGGCCGUAACUAUAACGGUCCUAAGGUAGCGAAAUUCCUUGUCGGGUAAGUUCCGACCCGCACGAAAGGCGUAAUGAUUUGGGCACUGUCUCAACGAGAGACUCGGUGAAAUUUUAGUACCUGUGAAGAUGCAGGUUACCCGCGACAGGACGGAAAGACCCCAUGGAGCUUUACUGCAGUUUGAUAUUGAGUAUCUGUACCACAUGUACAGGAUAGGUAGGAGCCUAUGACCUCGGGACGCCAGUUUCGAGUGAGGCGUUGUUGGGAUACUACCCUUGUGUUAUGGCUACUCUAACCCAGAUAGGUUAUCCCUAUCGGAGACAGUGUCUGACGGGCAGUUUGACUGGGGCGGUCGCCUCCUAAAAGGUAACGGAGGCGCCCAAAGGUUCCCUCAGAAUGGUUGGAAAUCAUUCGCAGAGUGUAAAGGUAUAAGGGAGCUUGACUGCGAGAGCUACAACUCGAGCAGGGACGAAAGUCGGGCUUAGUGAUCCGGUGGUUCCGCAUGGAAGGGCCAUCGCUCAACGGAUAAAAGCUACCCUGGGGAUAACAGGCUUAUCUCCCCCAAGAGUUCACAUCGACGGGGAGGUUUGGCACCUCGAUGUCGGCUCGUCGCAUCCUGGGGCUGUAGUAGGUCCCAAGGGUUGGGCUGUUCGCCCAUUAAAGCGGCACGCGAGCUGGGUUCAGAACGUCGUGAGACAGUUCGGUCCCUAUCCGUCGCGGGCGUAGGAAAUUUGAGAGGAUCUGCUCCUAGUACGAGAGGACCAGAGUGGACUUACCGCUGGUGUACCAGUUGUUCUGCCAAGAGCAUCGCUGGGUAGCUAUGUAGGGAAGGGAUAAACGCUGAAAGCAUCUAAGUGUGAAGCCCACCUCAAGAUGAGAUUUCCCAUGAUUUU